rnacentral:tRNA from 2 species
GCGAGCGUAGCCAAGUGGUUAAGGCAGUGGUUUGUGGUACCACCAUUCGCGGGUUCGACCCCCGUCGUUCGCC